GAGGGAAGGUAAAAUUAUUCAUCAAUCAUUGAAUCUCAAAAACAUAAAAUGCUCAUGAUAAUUUCCCCAAGGUAGCAACCAAAACUCAAUAUUCACUUUCUACCUCACAUUUAUUGAGCUCAGACCAGCAGUGGUUGGCAUUUUAACUUGAUAAAUGGCUGAAUUUGACCUCUUUGUAACGCUGCAGAAAGCUACAGAUAAGCACCACACAGGGUCGUACAUUUAGUGUGACUGAUAAGAAAGGAAAAGUUUCAGAUAAAUCCGUCCAAGUGAUGAGAUAUUUGCUGCUGUAGGUCACUGAUUAGCUGCUUUUCUUCACUUUCUCUGACACUGAUAUUUCUUUUCUGUAAAAGCAGCUGAGCCUCUGUUUAAUCUUUGUCGAUUAUCAAAACUGUCUGUUUUCUGUGAUCGCCUCAGCUGCUGCAGCUGACUCUCCUGUUUCUGUUUCACUGUUUUCUGCUCUCAGUGGCAAUGACUAACCUGAACUGAAUUUCACAUGUAUUUAAAUAUUUCAAAUUAAGGACGUGACCUAAAACCACCACAUGGGGGCAUUGUUGGUGCACUUAAUGUGACUGAAGAGAGAGAAAACGGUCUCAGAGGAAUGAGUACUGUGAUAUUUACUGCUGCUGAUGAUGAUAAGAUGCCUCAUAUUACUUGCUCUGACACUGAAAUAUGUUUUAUGUAAAAGCACAGCAACCACCUAUUGCACAUAUCUGUGUCUCUGUGUGCGUCCACUUCUGUGUUUGCACAUGUGCAUAGCUUUCAUGUCAGAGCGUGAUAUGUUCUCCCCCCACCUUCACAUCUUAUCUCUUCCUGAUAAAACAGCUCAUAAAACUGAUAACUUGCACAGUUUGAUGGCUGUUUGAGAAGCAAAAACAACACACAUCUGAAUCCUUUAAUUAUAGAAGAUAUUAUUUCAAGAUUGAUGUAAGCCGACUGACUUAGUAGUUAAGUCACUUAAUCUCAGGUUUGUCCUAAAAUUCCUUUUCAUGAAUGCAGGUCUGAGACAAAGGAGUUUAUCUGUAUUUAUUUUGAGUAUUAAACAGGUGACAGUCACAACUAUAACUCAGUCCUAAAGAUAAUAUUUAAAAUGCUGUUUGCAUUCCACACACUCUGGAGUUUAACCAUUUAUUGUAAUUUGUUGUUUAAGGACACGUCAGUUUUUCUGUCCAGGCUCUUGUGUACCCACAAUAAAAGGAUGUUUUUUACUGUAAACGGCAGGGGAGAGUCUCUUUGAAGCAUGAAACACGUCAACUACUAGAGGCGUUUGGACAUAAGAGCUGUUUAAAGUAAAGACCAGUUUGUACUAAUUUGUUCCUAAAAAAAUAUAUGUAUAUAUUUUCCACUGAAAAUCACUAAAAAACAAAUAAAAAAAAACAACAAUGAGCUUUAAUACAACUAUUUUUUCUGUUAUUUUCCUGCAGCAUCUGCCUACAUAUACUAUGCAUACUCAGUAAAAUGAUAAUCAGGUACAACUUUAACUCCUGCAAACAAUUUCAAAGGUGACCAAGUCCCAAGUUUUGAGUCUGUCAACCCAAGUCCAAGUCUAGUGGUGGAUUAUAAUUAAGUACAGUUAUUGAAUAACUACACUUUGAUGUACUUGUAGUUUACUAAAGUAUUUUAUUUUUUUUAAAUACUUCUAUGCAAUAAAGUACAUUUCAGAGGAAAUAUAUAACCUUUUAAUCUGAUACAUUUAUUGUAUUUUAUAGAUAGAUUAAAAUUUUCAAGCUCCACCUCGACCAACUACAACAUUAAAACACUGCUUACCCAGUAAUAUACUAGCAUUAGCAUUGGAGAUCCAACAAUAUGAUACAAGGGCCUGAAAUUCUGCAUAAUUAGCACUCUUACAUUUGAUACAUUUUGCCUAAAUCUGUGCUUAACUAAGGUUUUGAAUGCACAACUUCUACUUUUAUUGGAAGAUUUUUAUAGUGUGUUAUUGGUAGUUUUACUUUACUGUUCAAUUUAAAUUAAGUUCCAGAACAGGACAGAGGACUGUGCUCAAUAAUUCAGUUAUAGCUUUGUCUUCAGCAUCCUUAUAUAACUGAUUCCUCACACCACAGAGUCCAAAAAUCACUUUCCCGAAAAUACAUCACACAUAAACUUCCCAAACAUAGCACUGAAAUCACCAUGUUGAUCACCAUAGCUCUGAGCACAGAGCUGUGAUUACAGGGUCAGGAUUUCAGAUGGUAAAUAAUACACAACACGAUGCACAAACACAGAAAUGUAGAGGAAGAGAUGGAUGAAGUCUGUUCUCUGAGUUAUUUCCCACAUCAAGUUCACGCUGGCUGACCAUGAGGAAUUCUCCCAAACUGCUGUGAGAGAGCAGAGGGGGUGUGUGUAUGUGUGUGUGUGUGUGUGUGUCUGCACAAUGAGGUGAACACAUGAAGGAAUGCCUGGUAUGACUAAUGUGGUGAGAUCUGGAACGUCGACAAGUCUUUGACAGAACCUCUGCACGCACACACACACCACCUCAUACAUGGACCACUCCCUAGAAAACCACCAAAGCCACAAGCUAUAACGUUGACGUUGGCCUCCUGGUUGGAGUGGCAUGUCCGCACAGAUUCAUGAGGAAGUUCUGCUUUUGGCUCUGGACCGAAGUUACCACGAGUUUGGGCUGUGAUCACAAACAUUCAAAUCCUCCCUUUUCUUGUGAUUUUCCUUAAGCUCUCAGAAAAAGUAAGGGAUGGAUCAGGGAUUUCGUUUUUAUAGGCAAGGUCUGACAGAUAUGAUUUUUUUUUUCUUUUGUUUUCCCCAUUGAUAACCAGUUCUGAUGCUUUAGGAAUCGAAAUCAUAGAUCUUUAUCAUGGAUUAAUUACUGAAUGCGCCUACCAGCACAGGCACAGGUGCCCGACGGGGGAAGGGGGUUUCACUUGAAAAAUAUUGCUGAAACAAACACAAAAUAACCACAAAGAGACACAAAACAACUACAAAGAGACAUAAAAUGACCACAAAGAGACACAGAACAACCACAAAGAGACAUGUAACAACCCAAAGAGAGACAAAACAACUACAAAGAGACACAAAACAAUAAUAAUUGACAUCUCUUUCAAUCCAGGGGUCUUGCUCCUGUGUGGAAGGGGGCCCUUUCCUUGUCUGUGCCAGGGGGCCCAUUGUCUCAAAAUCUGCCCAUGGUCUUUUUUAGUAAGAGGUGUACACAGGUAGUAGUUGGCUGUCAGGUUCUGUAAUGUGAUCUUUUUGUCAAGAACUUGUCCUUCAUGUUGUUCUUGUUUGAAAACCCCUCCCCUGGACCUUCCUUGUUUAAAUCUACAAAUCAUUAUUCAAAGGUCUUUAAGUUAAAAAAAAAAUGUUUUCGUUUGUUGAGGUUAAGGCCUGAGUCUGUGAUCUGGGAGGAUGGUGACACAGUGAAGAGAGUUAUGACCUUUAUAUUGAUCUCAGUAGUGCCCCCCUUUGGUCUCUGACUGUUAAUACUUAAUCUCCUUAGAGCUCAUUAUUUUCAGCUCUGCACAAAUGAUUUAACAAGUCUGCAGCCAUACUAGUGGCUUUGUGCAGCAAUUUUAGGUAAAUGUUCACCUUCUUAGUUUAGCAUGUCAGCAAAUUUGACAUUUUCUACUUUGCAUGAAACAUAAAUACAGUUCAGGAUGACAGGAAUGUUUAAGUUGUGGUCAUAAACCAAAGUAUUGGAUUAACUGAAAUUUAGUCAUCUCCUUAUAUACCAUUUGCAGCCUAAAUAUUCUGUAGUUAAAUAAUGUGUUUUUGAAUUAUAUAGUGCAACUCAUCGGCUCUUUUGUGUUUAUUUUUCCCAUUUGACUUGCUGACUUUAUUUGCUGUGAUUUGCUUUGAACUGAGUCGACAGCAGUGACUAAACAAAUUUAAAAAGCAUCUGUUUAAAAGUUCAUUGAAAAUGUUUAUUUUUUGUUAAAAACUGAGGAUGAUGAGCUUUAAAUGUCUUUUUAUUUGAUUGUUUUAAGUGUAUGUAAUUAAACUUGCUAAGUCAAAAAAAUAUGCAAAGACAACAACAUUUUAUUUACAUUUUUUCUAUGUGGUCAAAGGGGAAAGAAAUUCAUAGCAGUAGCUGACAUUAUAACAUACUGUAAUAAAAGACAGAUUUAAACUUAGGCUUAAGCAGUGUGCGCAUAUUUUUGUCUGUUAUCCCAGAGUCAGGCUGCUGUUUGACAGAUUUAUGUGGCUGAGGUUAAAGGUGCUACAGUUAAUAAAGUUGAUUAAAUAACUUCUUUUGUGCUCUUGUCUCCCCAGCAGACAAUAACACUGCAAACUGAGGCCGACAUCAUGCAGAGUGGACAUACAUCUUCCUUUCAAUGACCUGCUAAUUCAUUACUUAUUAACAAAAAAAAAACAGCAGCUGGUUUAUUUGUUCACUGGGUGAGGCCACUCAUCUUCACUGGAGGAUAGAGAAUCUGGCCAACCAACGACGACACUCAUCUGGUAUUUACCUGUUAGAAUCUGUUUUCAGUCUAUCUACACCUCCCUCUUGCUCUGGCACUUUCUGCCUCUCACUAAUUGAUUGAUACAUAAUGUUCUGUUCUUUCUGUAGAUAUGCCCAAGGCCAGAGUUAAAUGAAGUUCUGUAGGGCAGGCAGCAAUCUAUCAACAUUGUGAAAAUGUUAUCUGAUUGGAGCCAAACAAUGGCCGACAGGAAGUGAGCCAAUAUCCACACAGGUUAGGACGAGGGGAAUAAAUCAGACUUCACUGACGUCAGACGGUUCUGGGGACAGUUGUUGCUGCAUGUCUUUUCUGUGUUUUUCUGCAGUAAAUAUUCUUGCUUAGUCAUGGCCCGGCAGCACGUAUACAUAAUUUUCCUCUCUGCAGACUGCCAAUACAAAACUCUGGUGUUUGAUCACCGUGGAAACAGUUUAACUCGAAAUGAAGCUGCGUCACAUUGUCAAAGCUGGAGGCAGGGUUGAGGGCAGUGCUGCAGCCAAGGAAAACUCUGUGUGCGCACUCGUAUUAAUCACAUUGUGGGGUUGUAAAUCUGUUCGUAAAGUCACAUUAUGGGGACGGGGCUCUCAUUUAGAGGCAAAAAUCUGCACCCCACAGGGAAAAACAUUAAAUCUUAUGGUUUACACUUGUUCCUUGGUUGAUGUAAGGGUUGUGGUACAGCAUGUAGUGGUUUUGGAGAAAAGAUAAGGCUGACAUUUUUCCCCUUUUGUCUUUUUUUAUCACUUCAACUCAGACAGGAGUAAAAGGUGCAUUUGUUGAGGACUUUUUACAGUCACAUGUAAUGACUGCAGCAUCCAUGUUCAUGGUAGUGAAGCAACAUAUCACCCAGUAUAACAGUUUUAAUAGUUUUUGACGGCAGUAGAAGGCUAUGGCAGAGAGGAAUAAGUUAUAUCAGGCUCUGGAUUCAUAGGCAAGACUUGUUAGGAUCAGUUUAUGGUUGGGUUUUGUCUAUUCAUGGCCUUGGGUUAAGUCUGCAGCCACUUUAUUUAAAAGCUUUCCAAACUACCAGUGAUUUAGCUUGAAAUUUCCUCUCAAUCCCUUCAUCUCCUGCUUUUCUCUCUGUCAUUUUUGCUCACCCUGAGUUUGUUUAUCUCUUCCCCACCUCUGUUAAACGUUUCAGCCACUCGACUGUAACAGUUACAAACUCGAAACCUGCCACACCACGUUGCUGUUGGGAGAUCUGUGCUGCGAAAGUAGAGCACAGAGAGGUGACAUCAUGUCCUGUGUACGGGAGGAGAGUCACACACACGUUUAAAACACAUGCAAGAGAUGAGAGAGAGAGAAAAAUAAAGAGACAGAGAGAGGGAAGAAAUCAGCCAGGGCAAACAUGACCAGACAAACUGAAAUAGUGUGUACCAUUUUAGAGUGUCUGCACCAACCAUCUGUGUAUGUCUGUGUGUGUGUGUGUGUGUGUGUGUGUGUGUGUGUGUGUGUGUGUGUGUGUGUGUGUGUGUGUGUGUGUGUGUGUGUGUGUUGGCAUGAGCUUAUCGCUGAAGAAUGUAGUGGAAAACUGAGAAACAGGAAGUCUCCAUCAUGACGGUGAAGUUGGCACCAUCCACACACAGACACACACACACACACACUCAGUGAAUUCUUUAAUGUACUUGGCUAUCAAUGCGUUUUACAUGAAAAUCUCAUUAAUGCCUACAGAUCCACAUCAACCUAAACUCUGGCUGAACUUCUGUUACAUUCAGUGUGCUGCAGGUGACUCCGAAAUCACUAAUUUGGUACGGCAGCCAGUAAAAUGGGACUACCUGGUAGCUUAAAAACAGAUUCAGGUUGGAGCAGUGAAAAAUCUUCAUCUCAUUUUCAUCUUGAUCCUGAGCUGUGAUUCACAUCUGAGCUCUUUUAAUGCUCUUCAACUUCUCUUUAUUUACAUUUCCCACCACUGUGUGUGUAAUGUAGUUUUAAAGUUUGGAAUAAAUAAGGAAUAAUGGCUUUUAAAUGGAUUCACCUCCUCAGUGUAAAGGGUCACUCAUUGUUUCAGUGUCAAGGUAAGUCAUUAUUGACGCCAUGAUGUUGGCUGGGAGAGAAAUGACCUUUUAAAUUGAGGAAGUCUGAAGGUUUGUUUUUGUAACUUAGUAACGGACUUAACAUGAUUGUAUUAAGACAUCCAUCUGCUUUAAGGGAUACUAUUUAAAGGGAAAAUACACUCAAAUCAUCAGCAAUAUACUUGUAUGACACUACUGUCCUGUUUGCUUUAUCUAACAAAAGUUACACAAAAAUGAAAUUAUGGCUGCAGUUAACAAUUAUUUUCAUUAUUGAUUAUUGAUUCGUCAAUAAUUUUCUCAAUUAAUUACUUGAUUGUUGUAUAAAAUGUAAGAGAAUAGUGAAAAAUACCCAUAAAACUCCAGAACCCAAGGUGACAUUGUCCUAGCAAAUAUCAGAAUUUGGGAAGCUGAGACCAGAAGACACUUACAGUUUUUGACUUUUUGAUUAACAAAUUCCAUGCAGAUUAUUUUUGAUUGAAUUGAUGAUUGUUUCAGCUCUAAGAUAUUAACUGCAUUUUGCACCUUAAAAUUUGUUUAAAAGUGCGAAAAUAUUAAGUUUUCUACAGUAAAUUUCACAAUUUUCUGUCUCUCAGGAUGAAGCAGCAAGAGCUUUUUACUCAACUCACAACUGCAAUGAUCUCACAAAAAAGACAUCCACUGAAGAAGUGAAACAGUCACAUCAAUGUCUCAACCAACAGAAGCCUCAAGAGACCAGAAUGCAUUGCAUCACCAAGACCAGCACCAGCUUCGACUCCACUGAAAACUCCCCGCGGCCCUCGGCAAAAGCAGUUCCAUCAUUGGGUGAAAAAAGGAGACUUCCUAACUGGAAACAGAUUUCAGGAGCAGCCAAGGCUUCCACAAGUCAGCAUGUAACUGUACCUCUUACACACACACACACACAUAUAUACACACACACUUACAGAGACAGACACACAGCCAACGCCCCAGACAACUUUAAAGCUUGUUUCCUCUCCGGAUAUCAAAAUGUUGCUUUGCAAAUGAAGUGUGUAUGAAAUCUCAGGAUGUGUCAGAGAAGAACAGAGUAACAUGCUACUGUAUAGUUUGUUAGUGAGCUAUAAUACAUAGGUGAUCAACUCUGAGCUGCCUUUUCAUAAGGAUCAAUAACUCUAUACCGCCAUAUCUGUACAGUGGAUUAAUAAAAGAUAAAACAGCAGCUCGGAGUUUGGGGAUAAUCUCAUCAGGCGUGAUAUGUCCUACGUGCUCAAAGUGCAAACUGCACAACACACCUACAAGAUCUAAAAACGUGUACUAAAAGAAAUAGGUUUGGUCAGACUGCAGAGGAAUAAAUCAUCAGC